UACGGAGGGGACUAGCGUUGUUCGGAAUUACUGGGCGUAAAGCGCGCGUAGGCGGCCCUGUAAGUCCGUUGUGAAAGUCAAAGGCUCAACCUUUGAAAGCCGAUGGAUACUGCAGGGCUAGAGUCCGGAAGAGGCGAGUGGAAUUCCUGGUGUAGCGGUGGAAUGCGCAGAUAUCAGGAGGAACACCGGUGGCGAAGGCGGGUCUCUGGGCAGUAACUGACGCUGAGGAGCGAAAGCGUGGGGGAGCGAACAGG
rnacentral:rRNA from 1 species